AGCCCAGCGCCGCCGAUAACGCAGCGCUACACGGGCUCAGAUACACUGACACUCAUCUGCUGCGUGUGUUGCUGCAGCACUUUCAAGUUUAGGACCGAUCCCUGCAGGGUUUUCCCUUGCCCCAUAGGCUGUAAAUCAGUGCAGGCUGACUCCUGCCCCACGAGCAGAGCCACGGUGUUUCUAAGAUAUUAAAAUGGAAGUCAGAGGGAAAAGAAACAAUAGUAAAAAUUAAAUAUGUACGUGUAAGUGAAUAAAAUGAUCAUCAGCAAAAGGAGAAACCAAUGGCCAGGGAGCCCAUCUGCUCCCAGCCCUGCUGCAAGGUGGCUGCGCAGCUCAUCGGACAUCAGGGCACAACAACACUAUUUAGGGGCCUCCCUGCCUUUUUCCUACCCCACUGCUUUUGGGAAGCUUCAACCCCCCCCCCACCAAGUCCCUGUUUUCUUCCGACCGCCCCUUUCACACUCAAACUUUGGCUUCACACAAGGCAGCCAGCAGCGUUCCCCCCCUGCACCGAACCCCAAAAACAACACAUGGUGACAGCGGGUCAGGGGGGGCACAACUCACACUCCAACACGAGCACAGCCACAUCUCCACUAAUGCAAAGCAUUUGCUGUUUUUUCCCCACCGCUGGAGAAUGUGACCUUCCCGGACGAGCAGCCCCUCUCAAUCCCCCCCCCCCGCCCCACGGCGGUACCGGGGGUUCCUCUGCCGGACCGCACACCCCCGCACCGCGCCGAGCUCCGCGCCCCUCGCACGCCCUUACCUGAACUCCUCCACCAGCCGGCCUGAGGGGAAGGGGGGGUGGAGGGGGGAGCUUGGGGGAGAAGAGAGGCGAAAACGCCGAGAAUGCAAAAACGGCGUUGAAAACGCAAACAAGAGACGAAAAACCGAGAAAUAAAUAAAUAAAUAAAUAAAUGAUUUUUAAAACCCGGAGAAUCGAAAAACGGCAAAAAAAAAUAAAAA